rnacentral:rRNA from 1 species
CCUCUUGACAUCCAGAGAACGUUUCCAGAGAUGGAUUGGUGGCCUUCGGGAACUCUGAGACAGGUGCUGCAUGGCUGUCGUCAGCUCGUGUUGUGAAAUGUGGUUAAGUCCGCAACGAGCGCAACCCCUAUCCUUUGUUGCCAGCGAUUCGGUCGGGAACUCAAAGGAGACUGCCGGUGAUAAACCGGAGGAAGGUGGGGAUGACGUCAAGUCAUCAUGGCCCUUACGAGUAGGGCUACACACGUGCUACAAUGGCGUAUACAAAGAGAAGCGACCUCGCGAGAGCAAGCGGACCUCAUAAAGUACGUCGUAGUCCGGAUUGGAGUCUGCAACUCGACUCCAUGAAGUCGGAAUCGCUAGUAAUCGUAGAUCAGAAUGCUACGGUGAAUACGUUCCCGGGCCUUGUACACACCGCCCGUCACACCAUGGGAGUGGGUUGCAAAAGAAGUAGAUAGCUUAACCUUCGGGAGGGCGUUUACCACUUUGUGAUUCAUGACUGGGGUGAAGUCGUAACAAGGUAGGCGUAGCGAG